UUCUACCCCCUCUCUCUUUCUCGCUAAUCGCUAUGCAUCAGCCGCUCCACCAUCUCCUUUCUAGCAUCUCAUCUGUCGGGGUUUCCAUUGCCGCAAAAUCAAGCAUGUUGGAAAACCAGAGCAGCCGCAACCAUGGUCAGAAAGCUACCAAAGGGAAAGGGAAUUGUCGAGAUGGCCGUAGGCUACAAUUAAUAUAAGCAAGACAUGAAUACAGCAACAAUGCAACACUACAAGGAUGCUAUCUCUUCCAAUUCAAUUCCUGAUUUCCGAAGAGGAUCAAUUGGGCGAUGCUUUUCAUUGGAUUAGGCAAGUUAUAGGCCUUGUAUGUGGGUUGUUGUGGGGUGCUUCCCCUUUCGUUGGAGCUAUAUGGAUUGUCAUGUAAGUUCAAAUAUACAGACAUUUCACAAUACCAUUGUAUUGAAUAUGCCUCUUUUCAAACUAGAUAUACUCUGCCUUUGUCUUUAAAAUAUUUUCAGAUUUCAUGGAUUAUGCACAAAACUUCAU